rnacentral:rRNA from 1 species
AUUGAACGCUGGCGGCAUGCCUUACACAUGCAAGUCGAACGGCAGCACGGGAGCAAUCCUGGUGGCGAGUGGCGAACGGGUGAGUAAUAUAUCGGAACGUGCCAGUCGUGGGGAGUAACGUAGCGAAAGCUACGCUAAUACCGCAUACGAUCUAUGGAUGAAAGCGGGGGAGUCGCAAGACCUCGCGCGAUUGGAGCGGCCGAUAUCAGAUUAGGUAGUUGGUGAGGUAAAGGCUCACCAAGCCGACGAUCUGUAGCUGGUCUGAGAGGACGACCAGCCACACUGGGACUGAGACACGGCCCAGACUCCUACGGGAGGCAGCAGUGGGGAAUUUUGGACAAUGGGCGCAAGCCUGAUCCAGCAAUGCCGCGUGCAGGAUGAAGG